GAUUAAGUUAUUAAGGGCGCACGGUGGAUGCCUUGGCACUAGAAGCCGAUGAAGGACGUUACUAACGACGAUAUGCUUUGGGGAGCUGUAAGUAAGCGUUGAUCCAGAGAUUUCCGAAUGGGGAAACCCAGCAUGAGUUAUGUCAUGUUAUCGAUAUGUGAAUACAUAGCAUAUCAGAAGGCAGACCCGGAGAACUGAAACAUCUUAGUACCCGGAGGAAGAGAAAGAAAAAUCGAUUCCCUGAGUAGCGGCGAGCGAAACGGGAARAGCCCAAACCAACAAGCUUGCUUGUUGGGGUUGUAGGACACUCUAUACGGAGUUACAAAAGUAUAUAUUAGACGAAUCAUCUGGAAAGUUGAAUCAAAGAAGGUAAUAAUCCUGUAGUCGAAAAUAUAUACUCUCUUGAGUGGAUCCUGAGUACGACGGAGCACGUGAAAUUCCGUCGGAAUCUGGGAGGACCAUCUCCUAAGGCUAAAUACUCUCUAGUGACCGAUAGUGAACCAGUACCGUGAGGGAAAGGUGAAAAGUACCCCGGAAGGGGAGUGAAAGAGAACUUGAAACCGUGUGCUUACAAGUAGUCAGAGCCCGUUAAUGGGUGAUGGCGUGCCUUUUGUAGAAUGAACCGGCGAGUUACGAUUUGAUGCAAGGUUAAGCAGYUAAUGUGGAGCCGUAGCGAAAGCGAGUCUGAAUAGGGCGUUUAGUAUUUGGUCGUAGACCCGAAACCAGGUGAUCUACCCUUGGUCAGGUUGAAGUUCAGGUAACACUGAAUGGAGGACCGAACCGACUUACGUUGAAAAGUGAGCGGAUGAACUGAGGGUAGCGGAGAAAUUCCAAUCGAACUUGGAGAUAGCUGGUUCUCUCCGAAAUAGCUUUAGGGCUAGCCUCAAGUGAUGAUUAUUGGAGGUAGAGCACUGUUUGGACGAGGGGCCCUUCUCGGGUUACCGAAUUCAGACAAACUCCGAAUGCCAAUCAAUUUAACUUGGGAGUCAGAACAUGGGUGAUAAGGUCCGUGUUCGAAAGGGAAACAGCCCAGACCACCAGCUAAGGUCCCAAAAUAUAUGUUAAGUGGAAAAGGAUGUGGCGUUGCCCAGACAACUAGGAUGUUGGCUUAGAAGCAGCCAUCAUUUAAAGAGUGCGUAAUAGCUCACUAGUCGAGUGACACUGCGCCGAAAAUGUACCGGGGCUAAACAUAUUACCGAAGCUGUGGAUUGUCCGUAGGACAAUGGUAGGAGAGCGUUCUAAGGGCGUCGAAGCAUGAUCGCAAGGACAUGUGGAGCGCUUAGAAGUGAGAAUGCCGGUGUGAGUAGCGAAAGACGGGUGAGAAUCCCGUCCACCGAUUGACUAAGGUUUCCAGAGGAAGGCUCGUCCGCUCUGGGUUAGUCGGGUCCUAAGCUGAGGCCGACAGGCGUAGGCGAUGGAUAACAGGUUGAUAUUCCUGUACCACCUAGUAUCGUUUUAAUCGAUGGGGGGACGCAGUAGGAUAGGCGAAGCGUGCUAUUGGAUUGCACGUCCAAGCAGUAAGACUGAGUGUUAGGCAAAUCCGGCACUCAUAAGGUCAAGCUGUGAUGGGGAGAGGAAAUUGUUUCCUCGAGUCGUUGAUUUCACACUGCCAAGAAAAGCCUCUAGAUAGAUAACAGGUGCCCGUACCGCAAACCGACACAGGUAGUCAAGAUGAGAAUUCUAAGGUGAGCGAGCGAACUCUCGUUAAGGAACUCGGCAAAAUGACCCCGUAACUUCGGGAGAAGGGGUGCUCUUUAGGGUUAACGCCCAGAAGAGCCGCAGUGAAUAGGCCCAAGCGACUGUUUAUCAAAAACACAGGUCUCUGCUAAACCGUAAGGUGAUGUAUAGGGGCUGACGCCUGCCCGGUGCUGGAAGGUUAAGAGGAGUAGUUAGCUUCUGCGAAGCUACGAAUCGAAGCCCCAGUAAACGGCGGCCGUAACUAUAACGGUCCUAAGGUAGCGAAAUUCCUUGUCGGGUAAGUUCCGACCCGCACGAAAGGCGUAACGAUUUGGGCACUGUCUCAACGAGAGACUCGGUGAAAUCAUAGUACCUGUGAAGAUGCAGGUUACCCGCGACAGGACGGAAAGACCCCGUGGAGCUUUACUGUAGCCUGAUAUUGAAAUUCGGCACAGCUUGUACAGGAUAGGUAGGAGCCUUUGAAACGUGAGCGCUAGCUUACGUGGAGGCAUUGGUGGGAUACUACCCUAGCUGUGUUGGCUUUCUAACCCGCACCACUUAUCGUGGUGGGAGACAGUGUCAGGUGGGCAGUUUGACUGGGGCGGUCGCCUCCUAAAAGGUAACGGAGGCGCUCAAAGGUUCCCUCAGAAUGGUUGGAAAUCAUUCAUAGAGUGUAAAGGCAUAAGGGAGCUUGACUGCGAGACUUACAAGUCGAGCAGGGUCGAAAGACGGACUUAGUGAUCCGGUGGUUCCGCAUGGAAGGGCCAUCGCUCAACGGAUAAAAGCUACCCCGGGGAUAACAGGCUUAUCUCCCCCAAGAGUUCACAUCGACGGGGAG
rnacentral:rRNA from 1 species